AGAGUUUGAUCCUGGCUCAGGACGAACGCUGGCGGCGUGCCUAAUACAUGCAAGUAGAACGCUGAAGAGAGGAGCUUGCUCUUCUUGGAUGAGUUGCGAACGGGUGAGUAACGCGUAGGUAACCUGCCUUGUAGCGGGGGAUAACUAUUGGAAACGAUAGCUAAUACCGCAUAACAAUGGAUGACACAUGUCAUUUAUUUGAAAGGGGCAAUUGCUCCACUACAAGAUGGACCUGCGUUGUAUUAGCUAGUAGGUGAGGUAAUGGCUCACCUAGGCGACGAUACAUAGCCGACCUGAGAGGGUGAUCGGCCACACUGGGACUGAGACACGGCCCAGACUCCUACGGGAGGCAGCAGUAGGGAAUCUUCGGCAAUGGGGGCAACCCUGACCGAGCAACGCCGCGUGAGUGAAGAAGGUUUUCGGAUCGUAAAGCUCUGUUGUAAGUCAAGAACGGGUGUGAGAGUGGAAAGUUCACACUAUGACGGUAGCUUACCAGAAAGGGACGGCUAACUACGUGCCAGCAGCCGCGGUAAUACGUAGGUCCCGAGCGUUGUCCGGAUUUAUUGGGCGUAAAGCGAGCGCAGGCGGUUUGAUAAGUCUGAAGUUAAAGGCUGUGGCUCAACCAUAGUUCGCUUUGGAAACUGUCAAACUUGAGUGCAGAAGGGGAGAGUGGAAUUCCAUGUGUAGCGGUGAAAUGCGUAGAUAUAUGGAGGAACACCGGUGGCGAAAGCGGCUCUCUGGUCUGUAACUGACGCUGAGGCUCGAAAGCGUGGGGAGCGAACAGGAUUAGAUACCCUGGUAGUCCACGCCGUAAACGAUGAGUGCUAGGUG
rnacentral:rRNA from 1 species